rnacentral:rRNA from 1 species
AGAUUAAGUUAUUAAGGGCGCACGGUGGAUGCCUUGGCACUAGAAGCCGAUGAAGGACGUUACUAACGACGAUAUGCUUUGGGUAGCUGUAAGUAAGCGUUGAUCCAGAGAUUUCCGAAUGGGGGAACCCAGCAUGAGUUAUGUCAUGUUAUCGACAUGUGAAUUCAUAGCAUG